UACGUAGGGUGCGAGCGUUAAUCGGAAUUACUGGGCGUAAAGCGUGCGCAGGCGGUUUUGUAAGCCAGAUGUGAAAUCCCCGGGCUUAACCUGGGAAUGGCAUUUGGGACUGCAAGGCUUGAGUGCGGCAGAGGAGACUGGAAUUCCUGGUGUAGCAGUGAAAUGCGUAGAUAUCAGGAGGAACACCGAUGGCGAAGGCAGGUCUCUGGGCUGACACGUGACGCUCAUGCACGAAAGCGUGGGGAGCGAACA
rnacentral:rRNA from 1 species